rnacentral:rRNA from 1 species
CCCUUAGAUGUUCUGGGCCGCACGCGCGCUACACUGAUGCAUUCAACGAGCCUAUCCUUGACCGACAGGUCCGGGUAAUCUUUGAAUCUGCAUCGUGACGGGGAUAGAUUAUUGCAAUUAUUAAUCUUCAACGAGGAAUGCCUAGUAGGCGCAAGUCAUCAGCUUGCAUUGAUUACGUCCCUGCCCUUUGUACACACCGCCCGUCGCACCUACCGAUUGAAUGACUCGGUGAAAAAUUGGGACCGUGAGUCUGUUUGCUUCAUUGCGAGUGGAUUGAUGGGAACUUUUUUAAACCUCGCCAUUUAGAGGAAGGUGAAGUCGUAACA